rnacentral:rRNA from 1 species
UACGUAGGGUGCGGGCGUUGUCCGGAAUUAUUGGGCGUAAAGGGCUCGUAGGCGGUUUGUCGCGUCGGGAGUGAAAACCAGGUGCUUAACACCUGGCUUGCUUUCGAUACGGGCAGACUAGAGGUAUGCAGGGGAGAACGGAAUUCCUGGUGUAGCGGUGAAAUGCGCAGAUAUCAGGAGGAACACCGGUGGCGAAGGCGGUUCUCUGGGCAUUACCUGACGCUGAGGAGCGAAAGUGUGGGGAGCGAACAGG